ACAUAAUUCCCAAGUUGUACUUGUCUUUGACCUUUCCUUGUAUCCGAAGUAUUCGCCUAAUCUGCAAGUGUUUAUCAUGAUAUAGCAAGGGUAAGCAACAAAUUUGCCCAACAAGUAUAAGUUUAAUUGAGAAUAUAUCAUGAUUGAAAGAAUUUGAAUAACAGCUGGCUAACAUUCAACAAUAUAAUUGUGAACUAGCAUGAACAAACUUUCA
rnacentral:lncRNA from 1 species